ensembl:lncRNA
CCUGAAGGGACACCCCGCUCUCUGCUCGGAUGGAGGGAGUGAUGGUGGAAUUUGGAGGAGUCCUGAGCGUCCGGGAGAAACGGAGGCGGGUCCAAGAGAGACUCGUUCACCGAAAAUAAACCUGCACGAGGGGGGAAAUGACUUCGAGGGAGGAGAAAGCAGAAGAGAAGGGGGAAACAUACGGGAGAGCGGAGAGAGAGAGAGAGAGAAGGGGGAGUGCCAGCGUUCGCAGCGGAUUAAAAACUGCGCAUCUCCUGCUCACAUCAAACUCGUGAGUGGACACGAGGGGCUCGCGCCGUGGCACCACAUCCUCGCCUGGCCGACACCGCAUCAUCAUAUUUGCAGACCACAGAGAAGUCGGGAGAUGCGCGCGUGCAUUUUUUGGGGGGAGAAGACUCUGGAACAAUUUUGCGCGCUGAUGUUUGUGUCACAUCAUCUCCUCUUACAAUGGCUUCAUAACGCAGCUGCGCCGACAUUUUUACAGCGUGCGAUUCAAAUGUGCUCGUCAUGUGUGACAUGAUCAAGGUGCUGGCGGAUCGCGCGCUGCGACGUUCAUUCACCGCGCGAGGAAAGAGAAACUACGCAGUUGCUUAUUUAGCUCGCAUUUUUACCAUGAGGACAUGCGAGGAGAAGAAGCCACCUCCCAGUUUGACCCUCCGCGCAUUAGCAGCGUUUGAGAUGUGGUUGGCCAGCAUGAGAAUCUCUCUGGAGGAGUCUGUAAACCACAGGACCUUCUGUCAUCCACCGGAGGAGGAGGAUCCAGACGCAGGUGGCUGGAUGUUACCUGUGCCCGAGUGGAUGGACAGGACCGAGUGCUAAUGCAGGGCAUGAUUGGAUGCGAUGAGAUGAGCGAACAGCCUGGAUUGGUGGAGUUAGUUUUGGAGUUUGAUGUUGUUGUUGUUGUUGAGAAUGCCAUGAUUCAACUCUUUAUGAUGCAAUAUUUCAGCAUGUUGAUGACAUUGAGCUGUAACGUGUCUGUACAGUAUGUGGUUAUAUUAUUAUUCUGAUAUAUGCCACUGUACAGUAUAUAAAAACACUUUUUUGAAUUAAUGUUAAUUGCUGCUAGUUAUUAUAUUUAUUAAAAUUGUAAUAUAUAAUGAUAGAAUAUAAAUAUUUAUAAAAAAAUAUAAACUGUAUAUUUAUUCUACGGCUGCAAACUGUUUAAUCACGAUAAAUCGCAUUCAAA